UGGUCUAGAAGAGGAUGAGGAAUCACUGAAGGUCUUCUGAGGAGGCAUUCCUGUUUCUCCCCACUUAGCUGAGGAAGCGCCCUCAGGAGAGGGAAGGCAAAGGAUGGAGAUGGCCUGUAUAGUGCAUUAUUUCAAUAAAAAUUCAAGAUGCCUUGGUACAAGACAAAUAUCACUUAUGCAGCUGAUAUCAGAUGUUAGAGAUGAGGCAAGAGGUUAGCCAAGGAACUCUGGAGGUUUCGUCAAACUCAGUGGGGAUAUCAGCCUACAGGAUCCACAAUCAGCUGAAUUUAAAGUGUUUACACAAAGCCAAGGCCUUUGCUGCUUCUCACCCCACCCCACCAGCGAGUAGGCUGGUGAUGCACAACAAGUUGGGAGGGAACACAGCCGGGACAGCUGACCCCAACUGACCAAAGGGAUA